CAGCGACGCCGCGUGAGGGAUGACGGCCUUCGGGUUGUAAACCUCUUUCAGCAGGGAAGAAGCGAAAGUGACGGUACCUGCAGAAGAAGCGCCGGCUAACUACGUGCCAGCAGCCGCGGUAAUACGUAGGGCGCAAGCGUUGUCCGGAAUUAUUGGGCGUAAAGAGCUCGUAGGCGGCUUGUCACGUCGGUUGUGAAAGCCCGGGGCUUAACCCCGGGUCUGCAGUCGAUACGGGCAGGCUAGAGUUCGGUAGGGGAGAUCGGAAUUCCUGGUGUAGCGGUGAAAUGCGCAGAUAUCAGGAGGAACACCGGUGGCGAAGGCGGAUCUCUGGGCCGAUACUGACGCUGAGGAGCGAAAGCGUGGGGAGCGAACAGGAUUAGAUACCCUGGUAGUCCACGCCGUAAACGGUGGGCACUAGGUGUGGGCAACAUUCCACGUUGUCCGUGCCGCAGCUAACGCAUUAAGUG
rnacentral:rRNA from 1 species